CCUACGGGUGGCUGCAGUGGGGAAUAUUGGACAAUGGGGGCAACCCUGAUCCAGCCAUGCCGCGUGUGUGAAGAAGGCCCUCGGGUUGUAAAGCACUUUCAGUGAGGAAGAACGCCUGGUGGUUAAUACCCAUCAGGAAAGACAUCACUCACAGAAGAAGCACCGGCUAACUCCGUGCCAGCAGCCGCGGUAAUACGGAGGGUGCGAGCGUUAAUCGGAAUUACUGGGCGUAAAGCGCGCGUAGGUGGCUUGAUAAGCCGGUUGUGAAAGCCCCGGGCUCAACCUGGGAACGGCAUCCGGAACUGUCAAGCUAGAGUGCAGGAGAGGAAGGUAGAAUUCCCGGUGUAGCGGGGAAAUGCGUAGAGAUCGGGAGGAAUACCAGUGGCGAAGGCGGCCUUCUGGACUGACACUGACACUGAGGUGCGAAAGCGUGGGUAGCAAACAGGAUUAGAUACCCUAGUGUC
rnacentral:rRNA from 1 species